UAAAAGAGAAAUGUUAUUUCUAGUAGGAAUUUGAGUCACUGUAAAUAUAUUGAUUUGUUUUUUCCAAAUGUUUUCUUCAUACUUUCACUGUAGUUUUGUUGAAUUGUUUUAACAGCUAAGGCUGCACACAAACUGUUGAUAAAGAAAAAUUAUUUUAAGAUCUUGUAAUAAUGGUGUUUUUGGAGAAGAAUUUUGGCUGCAGUUCUUCAAAAUACACCCUUUUUGUUUUUGUGCAGGCUUAGCCCAUCCUUGUCUCUGUAACAAUGGCCAAGGUAAAAUGAUGUUUAUAUUCACGUUUUCCUAGGUGUGUGUACGCAGGCCAGCAUGCCCUUGGUGUACUCAGUGCCGAAGGGGUCUGUCCCUACCUGUGCCUGCUCGCAGGGAUGGUCACAUCAUUUAAAGCAGGUUGUGUACCACUUUCAGUACACUGAAGGUAAGCUAAACCAUCAACAUUACUGGUGUAUUAGCAUUCAUUGUCACAAAUAGGCACAGCUCAUGAAUGGGAAGUAGUAGCAUCAUGGCAGAAUGCCUUGCAUGCUGGCGAAUGUAAUGAUAUUAACUAGCUUGUGAAUUUGCUAAUGUAGUGCUGAAACUAUGCCAAUUUAUAGACUUGAGUGCAGGGAAGCUUGAUGAUAUAGCACCUUCAGUGUACUGUUUUUCACCAUUUGACACUGUUAUAGAAUUGUGGUAGAAAUUUGUCAAUGCCAUAAAAUUCUGUUUUAGUAAAUCUGUACUUAUAGUCCAUUAAUAAACAAACAGUUUCAUUUAGUCAUUGAAAUGGAAAAAAAUUGGGAUUUUAUAUUUCUUUGUAGAUGGCUAAAAUAUGACACUUGCUGAAUUUUUAAAAAUUAAAGUUAAAUUGUUUUACAGUAAGAAUUUCCUUUGCUACGUUAUGUGCAUUGGUUUCAUUAUUUGUGAUCAUGUUGUCUCUCAAUACAGGCAUACAUAACCUUCCACUCUUGAGCAAAGAAGCUGCUUUUUAAAGCGGUAAUUGCUUCUUUACCUUUUUUCUUUUGUACAUUUAAUUUGGCAUUUAGUUUUUUUUAAGAUGAGUUGUGAUGACUUUGAAUUGUAGCUCUGCACUUAGCCCCUUCACUGGCGCAAGUCAACAUCUGGCUUCAGUCUGACAGGAUCUGUGAAGCCGUGGGUUUCUGAUUGCAUGGUAGCUUAUUUUUGAUUCAGUAAGCCAUUGUGCUUAUGGGGGACAAUUAAUUUUUAAUGGGCAUAAAUGUUCGUAUUCCUCUUGAUGAAAUCAACCCACAAAGGCAUAGAAAACCUUCAAUAGUUCAUCAGAGCUUAGUGUUGUACUAAUGCCUUCUUACACUUAAGAACCAGUGAAGGAGCUAAAAUAAUUGCACAAUGCCUUUGCUUAUGUAUAGAAAAGGUAAGUCGGGGCAUUUUGUCAGACAGCAGCACACUCCACCUGCACCUAAAGUUACCCAUGCAGAAUACUGAAGGAUUUUGGUUGUGCAUUUAUAAAUACACUGGUAAAUAGUGUUUGUUUUGAACAAGCAUUAUAGCCAUUUCACAGUGGUCCAGACGUGCAGUCAAGUCUCUGUACAACUAUAAAACUAAAGUGGUGACUUGCUGAUCUGAUCUGUUUUUUAAAAUUUUAUUUUAUUAUCCCAAUUGUUUUCGUAUGAGAUGUUUAACAAACGUCAUUUUCUAUGUAAAUGUGACAUUUUUAUCCAACUACCUUUUGUACAAAGUAAAAAAAAAGUAAGAUUAUCAAGUCACAAAUCAAUGCACUCAACGUAAAUUGCCUUUAGUUGCUGUAAGCCUUUCACUUACUAUUUCAAAAAAAAAUAAAAACUGGUAAAAGAAAUGAUUUAUGCAAAGGAGUAGUUGAUCAGUUUUCUAGUGUCUCUUCUUCACAUCAGUUCAGUUAAUGUUCUAACGUAUUGUGGAAGUAACUGUUAAAAGUGGAUGUUGCUUAUUGGAGAUCAGUGUCUCAGUUAAUGCCAGUUAAAGGUCACCACAAUUCACAAAGCUGUUUGGAAGUCUGAUCCAGUUAUCCUGUUAUUGCAAAAUAACUAAUGUUUUGUACUGUUUUCUUACUUCCCUUCGAUGGUGCUGAGAGAGAAAGGAAAGCAAGUUAUGUUGCUAUGCUGGGAGGCAACAGCCCACGCCGCCUAUUCCAUGGGCCUACUUUGAAUGAGACACCUCCUUCACCUUCUCCACAAGGUGCACCCUGAUGGGAGACGAUGCAUAUUGCAAGAAAAUGAAGACUGACUUAAGGUUUCUGUCCCCUAAAGACAACAUUUACAGUGACUUUAAGUAACUGGAAUAUCACUGUUUACUGGUAGGGAUCACAAAUGUAAAAUGCCUGCUCCUGAGAAUGAUGAUUCAUUAUCUUAGCUUCAACACGCGUUACUGACAGCAAAGAAUUCUUCAGUAUUCAAUGAAAGUGAAGAUGGUGGUUUCACAGCUUAUUUUUCAAUACGGUUAUGCAUAAGAGUACAAUUAUAUCGGUGUAUGUUGAGAUAUUUGCUUUAAAUUAUAGAAAUGUAAAUGUAUUAUUGCAAGAAUUUGACUGUUUUACUAAUCUUGGAAACUGAUCAUUUUGAAACACAAGAAGCCCCAAAAACUGAACAAGAAAUCUUAAACUUAACAUCUUGGUGGUGAACUUGAAUGCCCAUUUCUAGGUGUUGAAACCACAAUGUGUGCAUUUUGUAUUGUCUAACUGGAAUAUUGUAAAUUUAACACUUUGGCAACACAAAAUAUUUUGUUAAUUGCUUUCAGUGCGUUUCAUUAAAAACAAUUUGGUAUCAAA